GACGAACGUUGGCGGCGUGCCUAAUACAUGCAAGUCGAACGGUCUUUUCUAUGGAAGCUUGCUUCCACUGAGAAGAUAGUGGCGAACGGGUGAGUAACACGUGGGUAACCUGCCCAUAAGAGGGGGAUAACAUCCGGAAACGGGUGCUAAUACCGCAUAGUUUUCUUGAUCGCAUGAUUGAGAAAGGAAAGACGGCCUUUGUGCUGUCGCUUAUGGAUGGACCCGCGGCGUAUUAGUUAGUUGGUGAGGUAAUGGCUCACCAAGACGAUGAUACGUAGCCGACCUGAGAGGGUGAUCGGCCACAUUGGGACUGAGACACGGCCCAAACUCCUACGGGAGGCAGCAGUAGGGAAUCUUCCGCAAUGGACGAAAGUCUGACGGAGCAACGCCGCGUGAGUGAAGAAGGUUUUCGGAUCGUAAAACUCUGUUGUCAGAGAAGAACAAGUUGGAGAGUAACUGCUCCAGCCUUGACGGUAUCUGACCAGAAAGCCACGGCUAACG
rnacentral:rRNA from 1 species